rnacentral:lncRNA from 1 species
AGAUUUUGCAAAGAAUGUAUUGAUUUUUUUAUUUACUUUUUCCCAGGAAAUAAAUCUAACUCCUCUGACAGGCUAGAAGAUGACUGAAGCGGUGCAUCUCUCGCAGCCAGCCAGGCUGCCUGCGCAUCAUUCCAGCAAGGGCAAUAUGCUUUAACAUACCAGUAACAACAUGGAGAGGAAAUAUAUGAGAAAUUAACUGGCAAGGCAUCAGCAGCUGCCAGAACUCCAGGGGAAAAGAAAUCCACGAGCUAAUGAUGUUAGCAGCAAUGCAAACCUGGGCAUGACUGCAAAUUGCUUCAGCACAUGUCUCGUUUCCUGCAGCACUUGCCUGGCUCAGCACUGAGUCUGUGUGCUGAGAUCCGGUGCUGCACUCUGGGCACAGGGAGAGCUCUUUCCUGGUCAGUUCUUCUGGAUGGACUUCCUGAGGCAGGAACUGGAAACCACCACGGCAUCAGGGUUCCACCACACAGAGAUGCUGUAAAUCCCAGUGAAUUAGGCCCAGCAUGGAGUGGUUGCUUUCAGGUGCACUACGGCCAAUCUAUCCCGAGAGAGAGCUGGUCUCUGGGCAUCACUAAGAGGAUUCAGAUAACACAGCAGGAGCAGGAGAGAGAUGUACAGGAGUUAUUUAAAAAUAGAAAAAUAUAAUUUAAAAACAAACUUUUUGGGAUGUAACUUGAAAAAUAAGUAGAAAAAAGAAACAAAUGCAAAUAUCUCCAGGUUUCUAGUUGUUUAAAAGUGAUGAUGGUUCAGGUGGGUGACGAGCAGGUAUUUCCUCUGAAACGGAAGUAAAAUAUUAAAUCAAAGAAAAAAGAGAAUGUAUGUACAUAUGCAUGCACUUUGAAAGCCUUCUGCUGAAUUAUAAAUACCUCUGAAUCAUAAAAUAUAGAGUUUGUUAGUGGUUUCUGUUGAAGUCUGAACAUGUGGUUUUGUUUGUUCACAGCACAGCCCUAUGAGCUAUCACAUUAAAACCAGAGAGAAGGGAGAAAGACACCAC